UCCCUAGCUUAUAAGAAGAUAAAUCAAAUUACAUGGAGAAUUUGCCCGGCCUGCUCAUCACUAUGCACAACAAGGCGUUCGGUGAACCUGCAACAACACAAUGGGAGAGAGCAUAAGAUCAAACUGGUUCUUUGGGAUGAUCGAAGUUGAGGGCUUUGUGCUAUGGGAGAUAUGGAACACUCAUUGCCUUUGUUGGACGAUUGCCUAAGAUGGUCAAAGACCUUCUGCUUUAUCUGAUUCUAUUCUUCCAUUUUCCGUGGCAUGAUAACAAAUUAACUUUAAUUCCCAGCCUCUCCUUGCCUUCCAAUGCAGUAUCGCUUACUUCAAAAGACCUUUUGGUCCUUCUAAUAAGUUAAGGUCAGCAU